GCUGUUUAUUAAUAGUUUUAAUUUGAUUAUUAAGGGUUUUGUUUCAAUUUGUGCCUAUUUGGAUAUGGCUAGUGUAUUUUAUUGUUAGAAGCUAUGAAUGGGGAAACUAGAAAAGCGUAAGACAUCUACUUUGCGGCGCAAUCUUCGAGAUGAUGCCGAAGCUUUGGAUCUGCCUAAUAAUUAAAUCCCAAGAAUUGUGCGAUGAAUUAAGGCCUUAUAAGUCGCAAACACGCAGGAGAAAUAAAAAUUUGUGUUGAGUGUAAAUUUUUCAAACAAAUUUGGCUGUGUGGGUUGCAUUGAUUAACAUGCUGAAUAUUUUUUUAAUGGAAAGGAUUACCACGGUAUAAAUGUUCAAGUUAUAUGUUACAGUGAUUCAAAUAUAGUUAAUGUGGAUGCAUCAUUUAGUGGGAUGAGUCAUGAUGCAUAUAUCUGGAGAAACUGUGAAAUGCAGGCUCAAUUACAAAACUUACACAGUAGAGGAGAAAGGAUCUGGUUAUUAGGUAUGUAAUAAUAGUUUUGAUAAACAUACAUAUUAAAUUAUUUAAAUGUAAUCUUAUUGAGAAACACUUUAAA